GGCUAUAAGUGGCAGUAUCAUAACCAAUGAGGUUAAUCCGAGGUGUGAUUAUUGCUAGUUGAAAACUUCUCUGUUAUACCCUGUAUUACUCAGGAGUCUGGCCAUUUCAGAGCUGUGGCAGAGGAAACUGUAACAAUAA